rnacentral:rRNA from 1 species
AUUGAACGCUGGCGGCAGGCCUAACACAUGCAAGUCGAACGAGUGGCGGACGGGUGAGUAAUGUCUGGGAAACUGCCCGAUGGAGGGGGAUAACUACUGGAAACGGUAGCUAAUACCGCAUACCAUCGGAUGUGCCCAGAUGGGAUUAGCUUGUAGGUGAGGUAACGGCUCACCUAGGCGACGAUCCCUAGCUGGUCUGAGGGGAUGACCAGCCACACUGGAACUGAGUCACGGUCCAGAUUCCUACGUGAGGCAGCAGUGGGGAAUAUUGCACAAUAGGCGCAAGCAUGAUUCAGACAGGCCGCGUGUAUGAAGAAGGUCUUCAGGUUGUAAAGUACUUUCAGCGGGGAGGCGUUACCCGCAUAGGAAGCACCGGCUAACUCCAUGCCAGCAGCCGCGGUAAUUC